UGGUAAUACCGGAUGCUCCGCUCCAUCGCAUGGUGGGGUGGGAAAUGCUUUUGCGGCAUGGGAUGGGGUCGCGUCCUAUCAGCUUGUUGGCGGGGUGAUGGCCCACCAAGGCGUUGACGGGUAGCCGGCCUGAGAGGGUGACCGGCCACAUUGGGACUGAGAUACGGCCCAGACUCCUACGGGAGGCAGCAGUGGGGAAUAUUGCACAAUGGGCGCAAGCCUGAUGCAGCGACGCCGCGUGCGGGAUGGAGGCCUUCGGGUUGUAAACCGCUUUUGUUCAAGGGCAAGGCACGGUUUCGGCCGUGUUGAGUGGAUUGUUCGAAUAAGCACCGGCUAACUACGUGCCAGCAGCCGCGGUAAUACGUAGGGUGCGAGCGUUAUCCGGAUUUAUUGGGCGUAAAGGGCUCGUAGGCGGUUCGUCGCGUCCGGUGUGAAAGUCCAUCGCCUAACGGUGGAUCUGCGCCGGGUACGGGCGGGCUGGAGUGCGGUAGGGGAGACUGGAAUUCCCGGUGUAACGGUGGAAUGUGUAGAUAUCGGAAAAAAACACCA
rnacentral:rRNA from 1 species